UUCCCGGGGUUGAUCCUGCCGGAGGUCACUGCUAUCGGGGUUCGACUAAGCCAUGCAAGUCGAGAGGGGUCAAGCCCUCGGCGUACUGCUCAGUAACACGUGGAUAACCUGCCCUGAGGAAGGGGAUAAUCCCGGGAAACUGGGGAUAAUACCCUAUAGGCUACCGAUGCUGGAAUGCGCGGUAACCCAAAGCUCCGGCGCCUCAGGAUGGGUCUGCGGCCGAUUAGGUUGUUGUUGGGGUAACGGCCCAACAAGCCGGUAAUCGGUACGGGUUGUGGGAGCAAGAGCCCGGAGAUGGAUUCUGAGACAUGAAUCCAGGCCCUACGGGGCGCAGCAGGCGCGAAAACUUUACAAUGCGGGAAACCGUGAUAAGGGAACCCCGAGUGCCUGUAACCACAGGCUGUUCAGGUGUUUAAAACGCAUCUGGAGAAAGGGCCGGGCAAGACCGGUGCCAGCCGCCGCGGUAAUACCGGCGGCUCGAGUGGUGGCCACUAUUACUGGGCUUAAAGCGUCCGUAGCCGGGUUGUUAAGUCUCUUGGGAAAUCCAGCGGCUCAACCGUUGGGCGUUCAAGGGAUACUGGCAAUCUAGGGACCGGGGGAGGUGAGAGGUACUCUAGGGGUAGGAGUGAAAUCCUGUAAUCCUUGGGGGACCACCUGUGGCGAAGGCGUCUCACCAGAACGGCUCCGACGGUGAGGGACGAAAGCUGGGGGAGCAAACCGGAUUAGAUACCCGGGUAGUCCCAGCUGUAAACGAUGCGCGUUAGGUGUAUCGGUGACUACGAGUUACCGAGGUGCCGAAGAGAAAUCGUGAAACGUGCCGCCUGGGAAGUACGGUCGCAAGGCUGAAACUUAAAGGAAUUGGCGGGGGAGCACCACAAUGGGUGGAGCCUGCGGUUUAAUUGGAGUCAACGCCGGG
rnacentral:rRNA from 1 species